CAAGCGAACAAGUGCAUGUGGUGGAUGCCUUGGCGAUCACAGGCGAUGAAGGACGCGGUAGCCUGCGAAAAGCGGAGGGGAGCUGGCAAACGAGCUUUGAUCCUCCGAUAUCCGAAUGGGGAAACCCGGCCCGUAUGGGUCAUCCGUAGCUGAAUCCAUAGGCUGCGUGAAGCGAACGCGGUGAACUGAAACAUCUAAGUAACCGCAGGAAAAGAAAUCAACCGAGAUUCCCAGAGUAGUGGCGAGCGAAAUGGGACCAGCCUGCAUUCUUUAUCCGUAGUGUUAGUCGAAAGCUCUGGAAAGUGCUGCCAUAGCAGGUGAUAGCCCUGUAGACGAAAACAUCAUGGAAGAACUAGGUAUGCGAGAAGUAGGGCGGGACACGUGAAAUCCUGUCUGAAGAUGGGGGGACCAUCCUCCAAGGCUAAAUACUCGUGAUCGACCGAUAGUGAACCAGUACCGUGAGGGAAAGGCGAAAAGAACCCCGGGAGGGGAGUGAAACAGAUCCUGAAACCGCAUGCAUACAAACAGUCGGAGCCUUUGAAAGAGGGUGACGGCGUACCUUUUGUAUAAUGGGUCAGCGACUUACAUUCAGUGGCAAGCUUAACCGAUUAGGGCAGGCGUAGCGAAAGCGAGUCCGAACAGGGCGAUUCAGUCGCUGGGUGUAGACCCGAAACAGGUGAUCUAUCCAUGGCCAGGAUAAAGGUGCGGUAACACGUACCGGAGGUCCGAACCCACUAACGUUGAAAAGUUAGGGGAUGAGCUGUGGAUAGGGGUGAAAGGCUAAACAAACCUGGAAAUAGCUGGUUCUCUCCGAAAACUAUUUAGGUAGUGCCUCGUGUAUCACCUUCGGGGGUAGAGCACUGUCAUGGUUGUGGGGUCCAUUGCGGAUUACUACGCCAUAGCAAACUCCGAAUACCGAAGAGUGCAAUCACGGGAGACAGACAUCGGGUGCUAACGUCCGGUGUCAAGAGGGAAACAACCCAGACCGCCAGCUAAGGUCCCCAAAUAUUGCUAAGUGGGAAACGAAGUGGGAAGGCUAAAACAGUCAGGAGGUUGGCUUAGAAGCAGCCAUCCUUUAAAGAAAGCGUAAUAGCUCACUGAUCGAGUCGUCCUGCGCGGAAGAUGUAACGGGGCUAAGCAAUAUACCGAAGCUGCGGAUGCAUAUUUAUAUGCAUGGUAGGAGAGCGUUCCGUAAGCCUGCGAAGGUGCAUUGAAAAGUGUGCUGGAGGUAUCGGAAGUGCGAAUGCUGACAUGAGUAGCGAUAAAGGGGGUGAAAGGCCCCCUCGCCGUAAGCCCAAGGUUUCCUACGCAACGUUCAUCGGCGUAGGGUGAGUCGGCCCCUAAGGCGAGGCAGAAAUGCGUAGCUGAUGGGAAGCAGGUUAAUAUUCCUGCACCAUUGUUAAAUGCGAUGGGGGGACGGAUCGCGGAAGGUUGUCCGGGUGUUGGAAGUCCCGGUCCUUGCAUUGGAGAAGGCGCUUUGGCAAAUCCGGGCGCAGGAUUCAAGGGUGCGAGGCCAUUCACUUCGGUGAAGAAGCAAUCGGAAGUGGUUCCAGGAAAAGCCUCUAAGCUUCAGUUUAACAAGACCGUACCGCAAACCGACACAGGUGGGCGAGAUGAGUAUUCUAAGGCGCUUGAGAGAACUCGGGAGAAGGAACUCGGCAAAUUGGUACCGUAACUUCGGGAUAAGGUACGCCCCUGUAGCCUGACUGGCCUGCGCCAGAAGGGUGAAGGGGUUGCAAUAAACUGGUGGCUGCGACUGUUUAAUAAAAACACAGCACUCUGCAAACACGAAAGUGGACGUAUAGGGUGUGACGCCUGCCCGGUGCCGGAAGAUUAAAUGAUGGGGUGCAAGCUCCUGAUUGAAGUCCCGGUAAACGGCGGCCGUAACUAUAACGGUCCUAAGGUAGCGAAAUUCCUUGUCGGGUAAGUUCCGACCUGCACGAAUGGCGUAACGAUGGCCACACUGUCUCCUCCCGAGACUCAGCGAAGUUGAAGUGUUUGUGAUGAUGCAAUCUCCCCGCGGCUAGACGGAAAGACCCCAUGAACCUUUACUGUAGCUUUGCAUUGGACUUUGAACCGGUCUGUGUAGGAUAGGUGGGAGGCUUUGAAGCGUGGACGCCAGUCUGCGUGGAGCCGACCUUGAAAUACCACCCUGGUCUGUUUGAGGUUCUAACCUUGGUCCGUUAUCCGGACCGGGGACAGUGCAUGGUAGGCAGUUUGACUGGGGCGGUCUCCUCCCAAAGUGUAACGGAGGAGUACGAAGGUACGCUAGGUACGGUCGGAAAUCGUGCUGAUAGUGCAAUGGCAUAAGCGUGCUUAACUGCGAGACCGACAAGUCGAGCAGGUGCGAAAGCAGGUCAUAGUGAUCCGGUGGUUCUGUAUGGAAGGGCCAUCGCUCAACGGAUAAAAGGUACUCUGGGGAUAACAGGCUGAUACCGCCCAAGAGUUCAUAUCGACGGCGGUGUUUGGCACCUCGAUGUCGGCUCAUCUCAUCCUGGGGCUGUAGCCGGUCCCAAGGGUAUGGCUGUUCGCCAUUUAAAGAGGUACGUGAGCUGGGUUUAAAACGUCGUGAGACAGUUUGGUCCCUAUCUGCCGUGGGCGCUGGAUAUUUGAAGGGGGCUGCUCCUAGUACGAGAGGACCGGAGUGGACGAACCUCUGGUGUACCGGUUGUCACGCCAGUGGCAUCGCCGGGUAGCUAUGUUCGGAAGAGAUAACCGCUGAAAGCAUCUAAGCGGGAAACUCGCCUUAAGAUGAGAUAUCCCCGGGGCUUCGAGCCCCUUGAAGGGUCGUUCAAGACCAGGACGUUGAUAGGUCAGGUGUGGAAGCGCAGUAAUGCGUUAAGCUAACUGAUACUAAUUGCCCGUAAGGCUUGAUCC
rnacentral:rRNA from 1 species